CAUCGUGCUGCAGUUGUUUUCCGAACCGCCGUCGUGUCACGUCGGGGAACGUUAAGGAUUUUAAUUUGUUUACGUAAUUUUUUUUUUCGUCUCCCGAUAUUUACGUUUGUGUUCGUACGGUGUACAUUGCACGGCGGUUGUUUUUUUUUUUACCAUGUGACGCGGCCGGCCGAAGACGACGGUAUCAACCGACUACGCGUCACGAACGUCGGCGC